rnacentral:rRNA from 1 species
UACGUAGGCAGCGAGCGUUGUUCGGAGUUACUGGGCGUAAAGAGUGCGUAGGCGGUUUUCUAAGUUUGGUGUGAAAUCUCCCGGCUUAACUGGGAGGGUGCGCCGAAGACUGGAAGGCUUGAGUAUGGGAGAGGUAAGCGGAAUUCCUGGUGUAGCGGUGAAAUGCGUAGAUAUCAGGAAGAACACCCGUGGCUAAGGCGGUUCUCUAGUACGGUACUGACGCUGAGACGCGAAAGCGUGGGGAGCGAACAGG